rnacentral:rRNA from 1 species
UGCGUAGGUGGCCGUGGAAGUUUGGUGUGAAAGCUCGGAGCUCAACUCCGAAAAGGCAUCAAAUACUCUACGGCUGGAGGGUCGGAGGGGAGACUGGAAUUCUCGGUGUAGCAGUGAAAUGCGUAGAUAUCGAGAGGAACACCAGUGGCGAAGGCGAGUCUCUGGACGACACCUGACACUGAGGCACGAAGGCUAGGGGAGCAAACA